GUGAAUCAUCAAAUUUUUGAACGCAAAUUGCACUCUCUGGUAUUCCGGAGAGUAUGCCUGUUUGAGGGUCAGUUAAAAUAAAAAUCGGUGUGUUGGCUGCCUUUCGUGGUGACGCACCGGAUUUGGGUCUUUUUGCUUUCGGUUAGGUGAUCUAAAAUUUUGCAUGAUUUUUUUAGAACGUUUAUAAAUUAAUUUACGUUCGUUUUAUAUAACGAUUAUUAGGUGUGGUCAUUCUCAUGAUUCGCGCCUAUAAUUUUUCAUUAAAUUAACCUCAAACAAGUUAAGAGUACCGGUGGAACUU
rnacentral:misc_RNA from 1 species